rnacentral:rRNA from 1 species
GACGAACGCUGGCGGCGUGCCUAACACAUGCAAGUGGAGCGACGAACCAGGCUUCGGCCUGGGGCAAAGCCGCGAACGGGUGAGUAACACGUGGGUAACCUGCCCUGAUGAUUGGGACAACCCGAGGAAACUCGGGCUAAUACCGAAUGUGCCCUCCGGCCAUAAGGCCGCUGGGGAAAGGAAGCUUCGGCCUCCGCAUCGGGAUGGGCCCGCGGCCCAUUAGCUUGUUGGUGAGGUAACGGCUCACCAAGGCGACGAUGGGUAGCUGGUCUGAGAGGACGAUCAGCCACACUGGGACUGAGACACGGCCCAGACUCCUACGGGAGGCAGCAGUGGGGAAUCUUGCGCAAUGCGCGAAAGCGUGACGCAGCAACGCCGCGUGGGGGAAGAAGGCCUUCGGGUUGUAAACCCCUUUCAGUUGGGACGAAGCUUCGCCGGUGAAUAGCCGGCCGGAGUGACGGUACCUUCAGAAGAAGCCCCGGCUAACUACGUGCCAGCCGCCGCCGUAAGAC